rnacentral:rRNA from 1 species
GAUGAACGCUGGCGGCGUGCCUAAUACAUGCAAGUCGAGCGAACGGACGAGAAGCUUGCUUUUCUGAUGUUAGCGGCGGACGGGUGAGUAACACGUGGAUAACCUACCUAUAAGACUGGGAUAACUUCGGGAAACCGGAGCUAAUACCGGAUAAUAUUUUGAACCGCAUGGUUCAAAAGUGAAAGACGUUCUUGCUGUCACUUAUAGAUUGAUCCGCGCUGCAUUAGCUAGUUGGUAAGGUAACGGCUUACCAAGGCAACGAUGCAUAGCCGACCUGAGAGGGUGAUCGGCCACACUGGAACUGAGACACGGUCCAGACUCCUACGGGAGGCAGCAGUAGGGAAUCUUCCGCAAUGGGCGAAAGCCUGACGGAGCAACGCCGCGUGAGUGAUGAAGGUCUUCGGAUCGUAAAACUCUGUUAUUAGGGAAGAACAUAUGUGUAAGUAACUGUGCACAUCUUGACGGUACCUAAUCAGAAAGCCACGGCUAACUACGUG